AUGGUUAUCGUGAAGGGUCUUGAUGAGUGGCCGAAUGAGUUCCAGAGACAGUAUGAGACUAUUGACCUGUAUUGGAUUGUGCGAGAUGGAGGACUGAUGCUUCUUUUGUCUCAGCUCCUGCUCACAAAACCGGCCUUCGAAAACUACAAGAUCCAAGUCUUCUACAUACUUGAAGAGGACACUGAUGCUGCAGAGCUAAAAACUGAUGUAAAAAAGUUCUUGUACGAUCUUAGGAUGCAUGCCGAGGUCAUUGUCGUGACUAUGAAGUCCUGUGAAUCUCAUGUGGAGAGCAGUAGCAGUGGUGCACAACCAGAUGAUUCCCAAGAGGCCUACACAAGUGCACAACAAAGGGUCGAUAAAUUCCUCUUCACAAUGUUUAAGUUGAACUCCACAAUACUAAGGCACUCCAGGAUGGCAGCUAUGCUGCUAGUGAGGCUCCCUCCGCCACCGCUGAAUCAUCCUGCAUACUUCUACAUGGAGUACAUGGAUCUGCUUGUAGAGAACGUCCCACGCAUGUUGACAGUUAGGAGAUAUAGAAGAGAUGUUGUCAGAUUUUUUACUUGA
rnacentral:rRNA from 1 species